rnacentral:rRNA from 1 species
AUUGAACGCUGGCGGCAGGCCUAACACAUGCAAGUCGAACGAGUGGCGGACGGGUGAGUAAUGUCUGGGACACUGCCUGAUGGAGAGGGAUAACUACUGGGAACGGUAGCUCAUACCGCCUACAAUCGGCUGUUCCCAGCUGGGAUUAGCUAGUAGGUGGGGUAACGGCUCACCUAGGCGACGAUCCCUAGCUGGUCUGAGAGGAUGACCAGCCACACUGGAACUGAGACACGGUCCAGACUCCUACGGGAGGCAGCAGUGGGGAAUAUUGCACAAUGGGCGAAAGCCUGAUGCAGCCAGGCCGCGUGUGUGAAGAAGGUCUUCGGGUUGUAAAGUACUGUCAGCGAGGAGGCGUUACUCGCAGAAGAAGCACCGGCUAACUCCGUGCCAGCAGCCGCGGUAAUAC